UACAGAGGUGCCAAGCGUUAGGCGGAAUCACUGGGCUUAAAGCGCGCGUAGGCGGAUGUUUAAGUGUCUUGUGAAAUCCCACGGCUCAACCGUGGAACUGCUGGGCAUACUGGACAUCUCGAGGCACUCAGGGGCGAGCGGAACAAGUGGUGGAGCGGUGAAAUGCGUAGAUAUCAUUUGGAACGCCAAUGGUGAAAACAGCUCGCUGGGGGUUUGCUGACGCUGAGACACGGAAGCCAGGGGAGCGAACGGG
rnacentral:rRNA from 1 species